AGGGGGACCCCAAAACCGGGGAAUUAAGAUACCCCCGGUUAAGUCCCUAACUGUAAAACCGGUGGGAUACCUAAGGUUUUGGGGGGUAAUUCGACCCCCUCCCCGUGCCCGCAGUCAACACAAUUAAAGUAUCCCGCCUUGGGAANGUACGGCCGCAAGGGUUGAAACUCAAAGGAAUUGACGGGGGCCCGCACAACGGUGGAGCAUGUGGUUUAAUUCGACGCAACGCGAAGAACCUUACCCAGGCUCGAAAUGUUAGGGACACCCCUGGAAACAGGGUCUCCUUCCUUCGGGAAGGUCCUAGUAUAGGUGCUGCAUGGCUGUCGUCAGCUCGUGUCGUGAGAUGUUGGGUUAAGUCCCGCAACGAGCGCAACCCUUGUCGUUAGUUACCAGCGGGUAAAGCCGGGGACUCUAGCGAGACUGCCCGUGACAAACGGGAGGAAGGUGGGGACGACGUCAAGUCAUCAUGGCCCUUACGUCUGGGGCUACACACGUGCUACAAUGGCCGGUACAGAGAGAAGCAAGACCGCGAGGUGGAGCAAAUCUUCAAAACCGGUCCCAGUUCGGAUUGGAGUCUGCAAUUCGACUCCAUGAAGUUGGAAUCGCUAGUAAUCGCGGAUCAGCACGCCGCGGUGAAUACGUUCCCGGGCCUUGUACACACCGCCCGUCACACCACGAAAGUUAGUUGUACCAGAAGUCGCUGAACCAACCCGUAAGGGAGGAAGGUGCCGAAGGUAUGGCCGCUAAUUGGGGUGAAGUCGUACAAGGUAGCCGUAUCGGAAGGUGCGGCUGGAUCACCU
rnacentral:rRNA from 1 species